CACGCACAUUGAACGAGGGGCCCAAGACAUAUCUACAGACCAGAAUAUGACAGACACGGGGCCCUGGACAGACACUGUAUCAUUUCAGACACUUGGGCUCUUUUGAACAGCAAACCACCACCCACUCAGAGCACACCAGCAAAGUGGAGUUACAGAGCUGGAAGCGGAGCAGGAGCGGAUCUCUUCAGCAGUCCACAGUCUACUUGUGUCUGAUCUUUACCAUUAUCAGUGGAAACUUAAGGUGAGAUUUUCUAUCUGAUCAUCAUCUUAAUCUUACACUCUCAUUUUCAACCAUUGUUUUACCUGUGGACAGGAGCUCUGUUGUGCUAUUGAA